GAACAAGGAAGUAGUGACUCGAAACAAUGAGGGGACCACUAUUUAUAGCCUUUGGAGAGGUCGGAAGACGAAGCGUCAUUCUCAUCUCAAUCGUUAGAUCUCCUUGGAUCUAACGGUUCACGACAAGUGGCGCCAAAAAACCUCGUCAUUAAUAUGUGUCACGUCACGUGUUUGGUGCCGCCACCGUCACGUCCAACCUUGGAAGCCCAACUGUCACUACGACCUUGGAUAAAGACUCUUCGGAUUAACCAUCCUCGAGCCGGGUGGGCAAAUGUACCGAUACAGUCCGCACGACCGACACUCUGACUCGGCCUCCG
rnacentral:lncRNA from 1 species